rnacentral:lncRNA from 1 species
UCUUCUUCUACCUCCCACUAAUGGAGGAAGAUGCAGUCUCAUCGGCGCUUGCCGAGGUUACCGGCCACCGAAUCGGGCGCCCGAGCCACCGCAGGGUUUAGCAGGUCGGGCGCAUAGACUGGUGCAACCCACACACGGCGGGGAGGGCUAGAACGAGGAGGUUUGCGGCCGGGGCACACACACUGGAUGGCGAUGGUGGCCAGGGAACCUGC